rnacentral:rRNA from 1 species
CGGGAAUUAUUGGGCGUAGAGGGCUCGCAGGCGGUUUCUUAAGUCUGAUGUGAAAGCCCCCGGCUCAACCGGGGAGGGUCAUUGGAAACUGGGAAACUUGAGUGCAGAAGAGGAGAGUGGAAUUCCACGUGUAGCGGUGAAAUGCGUAGAGAUGUGGAGGAACACCAGUGGCGAAGGCGACUCUCUGGUCUGUAACUGACGCUGAGGAGCGAAAGCGUGGGGAGCGAACAGGAUUAGAUACCCUGGUAGUCCACGCCGUAAACGAUGAGUGCUAAGUGUUAGGGGGUUUCCGCCCCUUAGUGCUGCAGCUAACGCAUUAAGCACUCCGCCUGGGGAGUACGGUCGCAAGACUGAAACUCAAAGGAAUUGACGGGGGCCCGCACAAGCGGUGGAGCAUGUGGUUUAAUUCGAAGCAACGCGAAGAACCUUACCAGGUCUUGACAUCCUCUGACAACCCGAGAGAUAGGGCUUUCCCUUCGGGGACAGAGUGACAGGUGGUGCAUGGUUGUCGUCAGCUCGUGUCGUGAGAUGUUGGGUUAAGUCCCGCAACGAGCGCAACCCUUGAUCUUAGUUGCCAGCAUUCAGUUGGGCACUCUAAGGUGACUGCCGGUGACAAACCGGAGGAAGGUGGGGAUGACGUCAAAUCAUCAUGCCCCUUAUGACCUGGGCUACACAC